rfam:Gossypium arboreum cultivar AKA8401 contig_51189_1, whole genome shotgun sequence.
AACCCAUGAUAAGGGCACAUUUUCAAAGAUCUUUAAAUCUCUCUCAUGCAUUGUACAAUGUCUCCAUAUAAAAUUGAACAAAAGAAGAGAUGUCAUUCAUCAAUUU